rnacentral:rRNA from 1 species
AGAGUUUGAUCAUGGCUCAGAUUGAACGCUGGCGGAAUGCUUUACACAUGCAAGUCGAGCGGCAGCGCGGGGCAACCUGGCGGCGAGCGGCGAACGGGUGAGUAACAUAUCGGAACGUAUCCUAUAGUGGGGGAUAACGCAGCGAAAGCUGUGCUAAUACCGCAUGAGAUCGGAAGAUGAAAGCGGGGGAUCGCAAGACCUCGCGCUACGGGAGUGGCCGAUAUCAGAUUAGCUAGUUGGUGAGGUAAAGGCUCACCAAGGCGAUGAUCUGUAGCUGGUCUGAGAGGAUGAUCAGCCACACUGGAACUGAGACACGGUCCAGACUCCUACGGGAGGCAGCAGUGGGGAAUUUUGGACAAUGGGGGCAACCCUGAUCCAGCCAUUCCGCGUGAGUGAAGAAGGCCUUCGGGUUGUAAAGCUCUUUUGUCGGGGACGAAAAGGUCUUGGUUAAUAACCAAGACUACUGACGGUACCCGAAGAAUAGACCGAUUUGGCG